GCGGAAGUGGCGAAAUUGGCAGACGCACCAGACUUAGGAUCUGGCGCCGCAAGGCGUGGAGGUUCAAGUCCUCUCUUCCGCA
rnacentral:tRNA from 2 species